ACUGGGAGCGUGGCGCCUCUUGUAAUCCGUGCUACUCGGAGGUCGGGGUCGAGGGAUGGUUUGAGGUUUGAGGUCCUGGGACUGAGAUGGCCACAACAACCGGAUGGCCACAUUCAAGCCUAGUAUGACUUUGAUCUUCUGGAAGAGUCUAGACUCUAGAGGGUGCAUUCUACGGAGGGAUAACAGUUCAGGCCCAGGGAGACAACUCAGGGGCCUAGGAAUCCCUUCGUACCGGGCUGGAGUGGAAUUUAGCCGGGAGUGAACUAACUCAGUAACAACCUAACCGAUAUAACCAGACCCUUCCCUAU
rfam:Danaus plexippus plexippus isolate F-2 unplaced genomic scaffold DPSCF300292, whole genome shotgun sequence.